UUUGUACCUAAUUCGAGCUGCUUUGAUGCAGCAGCCCCGCUCCUAUGAAAAGUUUCCUUCUCUGCGGCAGAACUGUGGGUGUGGCCACCCCGGUGUUUCUCCACCGAGCCGGGUGCUUUUCAGGCCCGGGGCCAGAGCACCCAACUGUCUCUUUCCGGUUGUUGGUGUUACCUGCCACAGGGUGCCAGGCCAUGCCAACCUGGUCUGCAUUUCUUGAUGCAACGUGGGAUGCAGGUAUGAUGCCUGGAACUCAUGCAGCUCCCCUGCAACCGUGAGGCUGAGGCUAAGAGAGGAGGAGACACUGCAGCUCUAAGAGUGAAAGGCAACCCCGGCAGCCUCCUGCCUCCAGGCUUCUGAUCAUGGGGAAAAACAGUGUCCUGUUUGUUCCAGCCUCUGAUGGAGAGAGAGAACUCCAGUCCACAAUGACUGAGACUGGCCCAUCAGGAACCAGGAACUGAGUCCGGAUCUCCCACACGCGUAGCAGGAACCCACUCAUUUAAGCCAUCACGACUGCCUCCCAGAGUCUGCACUGGUGAGAAGUUGGAAUCAGAAGCUGGAGCCAAGUAUCAAACACAGGCACUCCAUCAUUGUGGGAUGCGGGCUUCUUAGCUGGACCAUGAAGAUGAAGAAAAAGUGUCAACAUUUGAAAGAUGAGGUAUGGUUUUGGCUCCUCUUGCAAUUGUUGCUACAUGAAGUCAAACAUCUCUGGUUUAGACACUCCUGGACUCUGGUCUUCAUUUGUCAUUGAUGGCUCAUUGUAUGUACAGACAAAAGGGAGUGGGAGCAACGUUCUUAACCAAUUACAACUCAGUUUUUAAUUCUAUUUCUUCUCCCUACUUUAAUGCCUGUGUGUACUUUCAACUCCUUGAAUAAAUUGUGAUCAUGAUAAGCUGCAUGUAUAAAGUUAGAAAAUUAUUUGUGUCCCUUGCAAUGAAAUUCAGAGGCUUAAUCCAGGAGGAUGUGUAGCCACACACCAUUUCAGCUACUGGUAUUUCUUCCAUCUCUCUGGUUUGCACUCGCUGGACCAUGGCCCUCAUGGUCCUCUAUCAAAGAUGGAAGCUGAGUUCUGCUGAAUCUGGUAUAACAUAUCAUAUCAUAACAUUAUCUGGGCAUAUCACAUCAUGUGAUAGAAGAGCUGUAGGAAGGAAGAGAAAUCCAAAGAAUUCCCUUCUAAUGAGACUUCCUGGAGGAAUCACACAGCACUUCUGUUCACCACUCAUUGGCUAGGACUUAGUCACAUGACCAUCCCUCUCUGAAGGGAGGCUGGGAAGUGUAGUCUUUUGUUUGAGUUCUAUUAGCGCAGAGGAAGGGGGGAAUGAUUACUGGACGUCAGUGUGAAGUCCCUGCCAUGCUUAUGAAUACCUUCAACAUAAAAUUCUCUACGGAUGCACUUGUCCUAUGUUCCACACUGUUAGAUAUGGCUGCACAUAAAAUAAUAAACACGAUGAAUGUUGGAUAUGCACUGCUAUGAUGAAACAGGACACAAGCCCUUUGGAGGCUCCCUGGAAUGAGUAUCAUGGCUCCACUGAAUCCUGAGCGGUUUAACUCUCCUCCACUUCAAUCCUCUUUGGAUGCCCAUCACUGCCUUUGCACUGUAGAGUAGGUGGGUUAUUUUAUUGCUCCUUUGCUUUGUCAGGUAACUGUAGUGAUCUCACCGAACAUGACUCACCACAGGGGAGCCAACUUGGGCAAAAGAUCAGAUGCAAAUUGAUGGCAAUCUUUCUUGCUCACUUUUCUGGUCACCAGAAUUCUGACAGCAAUGAUUCUUUGGAGUCCACUGGGCCCAGAGAUCAAACUAUAGAAAAAUCUCCAGGGGCCAUCUAACCUGGAGCUGAAAGAUUCAGCCCAAGGGUAAAGUGACAAUGAAUACAUGGUUUUCUGGAAAUAAAAUUGAACAACGAUAAAUGCAUUCAGUGCCUGUAUUAUGGACGACCCUUCUUCAUGAAGAAGUUACUGAAAUCAUUGGUCACGUGUGGCUCAGGAAACACCGUCCUAUCCAGGUUAGAUCUGCUUCUUUAUUAGUCACCUGUCUCUCUUCUCUUUGUCUAGCUUUUUCCUUUUCCUUUGCCUACUUUAAAAUGCUGCUUCUUUGAUUAAAAACCUUUCAGUGUUCGUGGCAAAGGUUCAGAUUCAUUCUCUCCUCCCAGGUGAAUGUCACAUAUUUUUUAGCUCUCUGGGCACGUAAUCCUGAAAUCUGGUAAGGUUCUUCUCCUUCGAAAUGAAGGCUGCUCUGUCCACUGCUGGGGAAUAUUGCCUGUG